CAAUUUGACAAAGUAAUACUUUAUGUGUUGUUAUGCUGGGUUUUUUCCAGCUUGACAGUAAACAAGUUGUUUGUUUUGUAAAACAAAACAAACAACUUGUUUACUGUCAAGCUGGAAAAAACCCAGCAUAACAACACAUAAAGUAUUACUUUGUCAAAUUG